AUCGGAUCCGGUUCCUCUCGACCCGUCUGUAAAAUCUGAAAGCCGACUCAUCUUCUUCCCUUGGCCUUUUCUGAUCAACAUCUUUACAGAAACACGGCGGAAUUCAUUGCGAGUUCGACGAAAGAAACCAAAGGGCUCGGAAACGAUGUCGUACGACGAUGUGGAAAUAGAGGACAUAGAGGACAUGGAAUGGAACGAGGGGCUUCAAGCAUACACUUACCCCUGCCCGUGCGGCGACCUAUUUCAAAUCACCAAGGAGGAUCUCCGCCUUGGCGAGGAAAUCGCUCGGUGCCCUAGCUGCUCACUUUACAUCACGUCAUUUACACCAUGGAAGAUUUUCUCGGCGACGACGAUAAAUCAAAAAAUAAGAAGAAUCUCGAGCCGUCAAAGUAGCAACCUGUCGCCGUCGCUUAAAGCAGCAAUUCGAGGUUUUCGAUUCUCUAGUGUUGGACUCGAGAGGUUAAUUGCUUAGAGUCAUAAUAUGUUUCGGCCAUGGUUUUAAUCGUUUUCGAUAUCACAGCAUAUAGUGAUAAUACUUUUGAGGGUUGUAACUAUAUACAAUGAGCAAAGAUUGAUAUUAUGUAUAAAACACAAUUGGAUUAGUUUAGAAUCGAGAA
rnacentral:misc_RNA from 1 species